rnacentral:rRNA from 1 species
CACGUAGGGUGCGAGCGUUGUCCGGAAUUAUUGGGCGUAAAGAGCUCGUAGGCGGUGUGUCGCGUCGGCCGUGAAAACCUGGGGCUUAACUCUGGGCGUGCGGUCGAUACGGGCAUCACUGGAGUUCGGCAGGGGAGACUGGAAUUCCUGGUGUAGCGGUGAAAUGCGCAGAUAUUGGGAAGAACACCAGUGGGCGAAGGCGGUUCUCUG